GGGCCGUUCGUCUAGCCUGGUUUGGACGUCAGAGCGAUCCGUCAAGCUCUCACACGGCGAAGGUCCCCGGUUCGAAUCCGGGACGGCCCA
rnacentral:tRNA from 1 species